rnacentral:rRNA from 1 species
CGUAGGGGGCAAGCGUUGUCCGGAUUUACUGGGCGUAAAGAGCGUGUAGGCGGCCAAGCAGGUCCGUUGUGAAAACUGAAGGCUUAACCUUCAGACGUCGACGGAAACCGCGUGGCUAGAGUCCGGAAGAGGAGAGUGGAAUUCCUGGUGUAGCGGUGAAAUGCGCAGAUAUCAGGAAGAACACCAAUGGCGAAGGCAGCUCUCUGGGACGGUACUGACGCUGAGGCGCGAAAGCGUGGGGAGCGAACAGGAUUAGAUACCCUGGUAGUCCACGCCGUAAACGAUGGGUGCUAGGUGUGGGAGGUGUCGACUCCUUCCGUGCCGUAGCUAACGCAUUAAGCACCCCGCCUGGGGAGUACGGCCGCAAGGCUA